UACGUAGGGGGCGAGCGUUGUCCGGAAUCAUUGGGCGUAAAGCGCGUGUAGGCGGCUCGAUAAGUCCGGUGUGAAACCUUGGGGCUCAACCCCAAGCCUGCACUGGAUACUGUCGAGCUAGAGUCCGGGAGGGGAGAGCGGAAUUCCUAGUGUAGCGGUGAAAUGCGCAGAUAUUAGGAAGAACACCGGUGGCGAAGGCGGGUCUCUGGGCAAUUCCUGACGCUGAGGCGCGAAAGCGUGGGGAGCAAACGGG
rnacentral:rRNA from 1 species